AUUGAACGCUGGCGGCAUGCUUUACACAUGCAAGUCGAACGGUAACAGGCCUUCGGGUGCUGACGAGUGGCGAACGGGUGAGUAAUGCAUCGGAACGUGCCCAGAGGUGGGGGAUAACGCAGCGAAAGCUGUGCUAAUACCGUAUGUGAUCUGAGGAUGAAAGCGGGGGACCAGGCAGCAAUGUUUGGCCUCGCGCCUUUGGAGCGGCCGAUGUCAGAUUGGGUAGUUGGGGGGGUAAAGGCCUACCAAGCCGACGAUCUGUAGCUGGUCUGAGAGGACGACCGCCCGAGCUGGGGCUGGGCCACGGCCAGACUCCUACGGGAGGCAGCAGUGGGGAAUUUUGGACAAUGGGCGCAAGCCUGAUCCAGCAAUGCCGCGUGCGGGAAGAAGGCCUUCGGGUUGUAAACCGCUUUUGUACGGAACGAAAAGGCUCUGGCUAAUACCUGGGGCUGAUGACGGUACCGUAAGAAUAAGCACCGGCUAACUACGUG
rnacentral:rRNA from 1 species